rnacentral:lncRNA from 1 species
GCACUCGACUCAACACUGAUGCAGCACCAGGCUAACAGUAAUGAAUAAUGCUGCCCUGAAGAUCAGCACGUUUCUCUCACAUGACCAGUUUCAGUUGUUUUGUCAUUGCAGAUUGUCGAGGAAGCUCCUACGAGAUGCUUGAGCUUGAUCCAGAAUGUCUGGCCAUCUUGAAAUCAACAGACAAUCUUCAAAAGCCAUCCCAAAGUUUCUGGAACCCUCCGCUGGACAACAGAUUACACAGCAGAGACAAAACACAUUACAAUGAUCACAGCUGUUCAUU